rnacentral:lncRNA from 1 species
ACAGUGUUGGUUCCGAUUGUCUGCAUAAAAAAAGAGCAGACAGUCUGCAAAAUAAGCCAUAGGGGUUUGGAACAAGAGUGAGUAAAUUAUGAUUUAUAAUUUUUUGGUGAGUUAGGCCUAUUCCUUUCAUCUCUGACUUUCCCCAAUAUACCUCAGAGACUCUUCCUUAUUCUCAAGUCUCCAGGAUAGCCCUGGUGUUCCAGCACACUGCUGCCUCACAACAGGAUCUGCAGGAUGACUAUUGCACAUGACAGCUGAGUGGGAACACCUCAGGGAACAGCUGGAGACAGAUACACACAACAGCAGCGGCUGGAAGCAUCCGUCAGCUCAGGAAGUACUUGGUCACCCAAAGGCAUGAUGGCAUUUUGUAAUUUGUUAAUGCCUUUAAACUGGUGUAGACAAUGGCUGAGUUAUGACAGUUGAUGUUCACCCAGCUUAUCAGGGCUCGAUGGACAACACCCAGUAUAUUUAAUUCUUUAGCCAUUUCAAAGUUUGUAGAAUUAGCCAUACCUGCGCACAUUCAGAAUUGGUUUGGUGUUUUGUUUUUUCCUUUUUAUUUCAUUGUUUAGUGGUUUGGAUGUUUUUUUUUUUUUUUUUUUUUUUGUUUGGAUACUCAUAUUUAAUCCGAUAUAAAUAAAACAUAAGUUCAAAUAAUAAAAUAUAAGUGAAAUCAAAGGUCUAUUGUAAUGAUGCUUGUGUAUUAGGCCCAGCUUUUCAAAACAACCUGGAUUUUUGCUGAACCAACAUUUCUCUCAUGACUCCAGAUUUACUUGGGAGAAAACUCUAUCCGGCUAUAUCCUGAGCAGGAGUUGGCAAGUCCUUUAGAGCUGAAGUUGGAAGAUGGAUGAUAUCUAGCCCAGAGUUGCUAUUGCUGGUCGUUGGGUGGUGCGUUUAGCAUCUGUGGUCCCUCUUCAGGAGUCAGGAAAGAAGUUAUUAAUGAAUUUCCUUUAAGGCACGAAGCAGUGAGGGAGGUUGUGCUGAUGCUGCUGUACAGAGCUUCCCUCCAGCCCCUGCCACUGGCAAAUUACUCGCCGCCACCUUAGUUUGCACUUUUCAAAAUCACCUUCU